rnacentral:rRNA from 1 species
AUGGGCCACGCGCCGUCACUGCCGAGAUUCGUGUCAUGGAGCCGACCGCGAUGGUACCUGAACCUGUGGAAGGUGGCCGCGGCGGUGGUUGUCCUGCCCUACGCCGCCAAGUUCAGUAUUUUUGCUGCGAUAAGCCAAAAAGAGACCGUGCCCUUCAGCAACCGGGCCCAUCGUGUCCUCCUGACCUCGUCGGAGGAGCGCGAGUUUGGCGACAAAAAUUUCAACGAUUGGAAGAAGAAGAACGGCAAAGACAUCCUUGGCCCGUCUGACCCGAGGACUGUCCUCGUCCGCCGCAUCGCCUCAGAUAACAUCCACGGAGUCCGCCGCCUCUUCCCAAAAACGGCAUCCAUGACGAUGAUGUUAAGCAGGGGAAGGUGGUAG